UACGUAGGGCGCAAGCGUUGUCCGGAAUUAUUGGGCGUAAAGAGCUCGUAGGCGGUCUGUCACGUCGGAUGUGAAAGCCCGGGGCUUAACCCCGGGUCUGCAUUCGAUACGGGCAGACUAGAGUGUGGUAGGGGAGAUCGGAAUUCCUGGUGUAGCGGUGAAAUGCGCAGAUAUCAGGAGGAACACCGGUGGCGAAGGCGGAUCUCUGGGCCAUUACUGACGCUGAGGAGCGAAAGCGUGGGGAGCAAAGAGG
rnacentral:rRNA from 1 species